rnacentral:misc_RNA from 1 species
AAAGAAAAAAAGAAAAAAAUAAAAAAAAUAAAAAACAACAACAAGUGAUAUGAAUUGGCAUUGUCAAAACUCAUAAAUACAUCUGAAAGAAAUUUAGCAUUUAACAAGCAAGCUCUGCAAAAGGAAUUUCAGAAUAACAGGAUUGACUCAACAACUCUCAACUUCUAGUUCAAAAGAUAAGCCCAUACCAAUAUCUUCCCAUGAAGCAUUGUAAUGGCCAAGAACAAGGUGCACAUAAUCAAACAUUCUCUAACCAUCAGAGACGCAGAAAUUUUGUUUCUAUCAUCUCCCUAACUAGACAAGAUAACAACAAUGAAAUGCAAGUCUCUGAAACACCAUAACCAAAUUUUGACCCACAAUUUUAGGUUUCAAAAACUUCAGCAAAUCUAUUUGUUAGAUCACGAGAAAAUUUGCAUUAGGAAAUAGGAAUCCAGUUCCUCUCACUAUCCAUACUCUUCAUACAUUUGUUAUAGUAAGUUUGAGCAUGGAAAAGUCUGUUAUUCAAAUGUCCUGUAUCCUUCACACGUGACAAGAACGAGAAAUGUAGGAGAUCACCAGGAAAUCCUCAUCAAAAUGAGAAAAAGAAAAGGCGUUGGGGCAGGGAAAGGGAGGUGGUGAAAGAUGUUUCUAAUACUGAAUUCCUAACAGUGACAUAUCAGCAUGGUCAAAAUUCAAAUCCUUCAUCAAGGUGCAGGCUUGACUUUUGACCAUGCUG